AACCAAACUUAACCAACUUGACUACUGCUUCUCAGCAAUCCAGGAAAAAUUUAGAAGCAAAAUAUGCUACUGUGAGAACAGGUAAGGGAAACGUGUUUGAGGACAAGAUUUCUGAUCAUCCAAAGGAAGAUGUGUUUGAAUGCUUUCCCACAACAUCAGGCAAAGUCCAGGGCUUUUUAAAUCCUUCCUUUCCACCACCUGAGCCUCAGCGGAAACCUUCCUCCGGGUCAUUGGAAAACUGUGGUCUUACAAAGGAAGGAGCAACAAAGCCAGCAUUUGGACAAAAGGAAAAUGGUAUUGGUAUUAUUGAACAUGCUCCGCGAGAGCAAAAAGUAAUGUCAAUUUUAUUUAUGUGCACAAAAAUAACAGAAGUGGUAAGUUAGUGAAUAUCUAUGAUACUCUUUAAUC